rnacentral:lncRNA from 1 species
GAAAUUAAUUUCUUUUGUAUCUAUUAUGACCAGCUUUCGUUUAGAUAGAAUCUCCCUUUUGAAACUCAUUAAAACAUCACGAAAGUCCCAUGUCUCUGCCAGGGCUGGCAGGAGGAUUGUGGCCUACCCUGGGAUUUAAUCACAGCUCUGCAGUAUGCGUACUGCUGGAGUGCAGGGCAGGGGAUGGUUCUGAACCGAGCUGUGGGGGUUUCUGUGAGAAAGCAGAGGUUGACUAAAUGAGGACUAACUGCAGCCCUGCUGGUGCACAGCCUCUAACUGUUUGAAGUUGGUAGCCUUUCUUUCAGAGCUUCCGACACACUCAGCAGCAGCCUGCCAGUGCCGUGCUGCAUGCUCACAGGCUGGAAGCAGUGAGUUGCUGGGGGAACUGCCCGCUGUGCCCCUGCACUGCGCAGGCCCUAGCAGCUCUCCUGCUGCAACCUGGCAUUUCCACAUGCUGCAUUGCACCUCCUCCUCACUUUUGCCCGAUGAGCACACUGAUGGCAGCUAAGAAAGAUGAGAGAAUGACAGCUUGAGAGUGAGUGUGGUGAAAGCUGGGUGCCUUGAGCUCUAGCUUGAGCUGCAGUUCCCUUCCAUCGCAGCAAACCCACAAGAGUCUUUCUGCCAUGUUCUCCUUUCAGGACUUGCCCACCUGACUCCUGGCUCAGCAAUGAGAAAUGGAAGUACAGGAAGUCCCAUGGUGAAUGCUGGAGGGAGAGAGCUCUCUUAAGAGUGAAGUUUAACAGCUAAGGGAACAGUUACAUAAAAAGGAUGAAUGAGCAACAACAAAAGAGGAAGGCUGGGAUCAUAUAAUCUGAAAACUGGAACCACCAUUUAUGAUUUCCUAUUUAGGUAAGG